rnacentral:rRNA from 1 species
UACAGAGGUGGCAAGCGUUGUUCGGAAUUACUGGGCGUAAAGGGCGCGUAGGCGGCCUUCUAAGUCAGACGUGAAAUCCCCAGGCUUAACUUGGGAACUGCGUCCGAUACUGGCAGGCUUGAAUCCGGGAGAGGGAUGCGGAAUUCCAGGUGUAGCGGUGAAAUGCGUAGAUAUCUGGAGGAACACCGGUGGCGAGGGCGGCAUCCUGGACCGGCAUUGACGCUGAGGCGCGAAAGCCAGGGGAGCAAACGGG